UCGACUCCUAAAUCCCGAGCAGAUGGGGAGGCCAGAAAUAGUGUUUUUCCCCGCUGUCCGGCCAGUGGUGAUGUCGAAGGGGAGAUGGAUAGACUCCUAAAUAGUAGAUGGAGAUCACCCUUUACUUUACUGUCGCCGUGACCGAAGCAGCUUCACUCCGAGUUGAUUGGCUGAUGAGCUACAACAGAAGUGAACUUCGGCCGCUCCCAGAUCUGGAACUGGGCGUCUGUGUGUGGCAGCAAGGAAGGCAGAGACAAAAAGACACGUACCACGGACUGAACAGAUGGGAUCCUCCAAACAGAUGCCAUUGUUCCGAAAAAGUUAGAUUGCAAGAAGAAAGAUCCAAAAGACGCUAUGGCUGACGAUGUCUGUGGACUCAGAUAAGUCCCGCAUGCUGCUGUCACCGCGAGACUCGCGGACCACGCCAUGUGUCUUUCAACCGGCUGAGGAGAAGGAUGACAUCCCCGGUGUGGGGGACGAUAGUGUUCUGGAGAUGCUGAGCUACUCCAAGUUCUCUGACCUGGAGACAUGGCUGUGCAUGCCCUCCACUCUGCUCCCCAGGGCCCUAGAGUCCACCCU